rnacentral:rRNA from 1 species
AGGGUUUGAUCAUGGCUCAGAAUCAACGCUGGCGGCGUGCCUAACACAUGCAAGUCGUACGAGAAAGUGGAGCAAUCCAUGAGUAAAGUGGCGACCGGGUGAGUAACACGUGACUACCUACCUUCUAGUGGGGGAUAACUCCGGGAAACCGGAGCUAAUACCGCAUAACAUCGCAAGAUCAAAGCAGCAAUGCGCUGGAAGAGGGGGUCGCGGCUGAUUAGCUUGUUGGCGGGGUAACGGCCCACCAAGGCAAAGAUCGGUAUCCGGCCUGAGAGGGCGCACGGACACACUGGAACUGAAACACGGUCCAGACUCCUACGGGAGGCAGCAGUGGGGAAUUUUGCGCAAUGGGGGAAACCCUGACGCAGCAACGCCGCGUGGAGGAUGAAGUCCCUUGGGACGUAAACUCCUUUCGACCAAGACGAUAAUGACGGUACUGGUGGAAGAAGCACCGGCUAACUCUGUGCCAGCAGCCGCGGUAAUACAGAGGGUGCGAGCGUUGUUCGGAAUUAUUGGGCGUAAAGGGCGCGUAGGCGGCGCCACAAGUCACUUGUGAAAACUCUGGGCUC